rnacentral:rRNA from 1 species
CCUACGGGAGGCAGCAGUGAGGAAUAUUGGUCAAUGGACGAGAGUCUGAACCAGCCAAGUAGCGUGAAGGAUGACUGCCCUAUGGGUUGUAAACUUCUUUUAUAUGGGAAUAAAAUGUUCCACGUGUUGGAUUUUGUCUGUCACCUAUGAAUAAGGAUCGGCUAACUCCGUGCCAGCAGCCGCGGUACUACGGAGGCUCCGAGCGUUCUCCGGAUUUAUUGGGUUGCAAGGGAGUGUAGGGUAAUUGUUAAGUCAGUAGUGAAAGUGUGGGGCUCAACCGUAAAAUUGCAUUUGAAACUGGCAGUCAUGAGUACAGUAGAUGUGGGCGGAAUUCGUGGUGUAGCGGUGAAAUGCUUAGAUCUCACGAAGAACUCGGAUUGCGAAGGCAGUUCACUGGACUGCAACUGACACUGAGGCUCGAAAGUGUGGGUAUCAAACAGGAGUAGAUACCCUUGUAGUC